rnacentral:rRNA from 1 species
CCCUGGCUCAGAACGAACGCUGGCGGCAGGCUUAACACAUGCAAGUCGAACGCCCCGCAAGGGGAGUGGCAGACGGGUGAGUAACGCGUGGGAAUCUACCCUUUUCUACGGAACAACUGAGGGAAACUUCAGCUAAUACCGUAUACGGCCGAGAGGCGAAAGAUUUAUCGGAGAAGGAUGAGCCCGCGUUGGAUUAGCUAGUUGGUGGGGUAAAGGCCCACCAAGGCGACGAUCCAUAGCUGGUCUGAGAGGAUGAUCAGCCACACUGGGACUGAGACACGGCCCAGACUCCUACGGGAGGCAGCAGUGGGGAAUAUUGGACAAUGGGCGCAAGCCUGAUCCAGCCAUGCCGCGUGAGUGAUGAAGGCCCUAGGGUUGUAAAGCUCUUUCACCGGUGAAGAUAAUGACGGUAACCGGAGAAGAAGCCCCG